UACGUAGGGGGCGAGCGUUGUCCGGAUUUAUUGGGCGUAAAGAGCUCGUAGGCGGCUCGGUAAGUCGGAUGUGAAACCUCCAGGCUCAACCUGGAGACGCCAUCUGAUACUGCCGUGGCUUGAGUCCGGUAGAGGAGCAGGGAAUUCCUGGUGUAGCGGUGAAAUGCGCAGAUAUCAGGAGGAACACCGAUGGCGAAGGCAGGUCUCUGGGCCAUAACUGACGCUGAGAAGCGAAAGCAUGGGGAGCGAACAGG
rnacentral:rRNA from 1 species